ACUAACUAACUAACUAUUGUUAAUAUUUUACUUUCAACUGAAGUAUGUUGGGCAGCAGUGAUGCGAUUUUUUUUCUUUCCACUACUGUCCUAAAUACCAGCUUAUUGAAAAGUAAAAUCAUGUAAAUUUGUUAUAAUUGUGUUACAUUGACUAUUGUUGGUAUAUGGCAUGUAUCCUUUUAAAUACAUUUUUCAGAUUACUGCAUUGAGUGUCAUUGGAGGAAUUGAUGUUAAGGACAGUGUUUGGCGAGUUAUGAAGCAUUGCUUUACCAACCCCCUAGCCAAACAGCUCAACUGGCGUGGCAUCAAUGGCAAAACAGCUUUCCACAGUUUGCAACUGAAAGAUGUAAUUACUGGGACUGUCAGAAACAAUAGGCGCACAGCAUCAGCCACAGAUCAAGAGGCAGAAACCUACAUAAAAAGAUGGCUUCAUCUUGCAAGCGACCGAGACGGAGGGAGAAGAGCAAGAGAAGAACGAAGACGGACUGUCCAAAAAAAACAUGGACCAACGUCGUAAGGGAACAAGAGACUUCUUCCCAAACCCUGUCCGGCCCAGCAGCCCGCGGCCCAGCAGCCCGCGGCCCAUCCACCGUAGGAUCCCAGCGGCAGCGUCCCAGAGGGGCUUCCCACCUGGCACUGACCCUGGCUCCUCAGCUGGAAAGCCGCUGACUCUGGAG